rnacentral:ncRNA from 2 species
UCUCGUUCGCGCGACUGGCGAGAAAAGAUGGGGAACCAUCGGGGAACGCGAACCUGAGAGAGCCGCUCGCCUGGGCACCCAUU